rnacentral:lncRNA from 13 species
ACUUAGCUAAUAGAACUAACACGUUAGUAAACCCUCUACAAUCUUGCAGUACAGUGUAAGCAGUUUAGCAGUUACACCGACGGGCCCCGGUGGCAAUAAAGUAGUCAAACCAAAAGCUUAUCUUGACUUGGACGAGUUUCAGUUUUGGAUAGUCAUAGCCAGCUGACUAACAUAGCAUCUCUUUAUUUGGCCUGGGUGUUUGAAUAGGUAGGGUAAACUAGCUAGCUGCAUUUGCUAGCUAAGAAAGUGAAAAGAAAUGACAAAAUAUAUCUAUUUAUCUCUCUCACUCUUGCUCCAUUUUUGAAUAAAUAAAUGUGUUCAAACCUUUUCAGCUAUUGUCUUUCUCUCUCUUUGAGUCAGCUACUCACCACAUGUUAUGAAGAGCACUGCUAGCUAGCUGUAACUUAUGCUUUCAGUAUUGGAUUCAUUCUCUGAUCCUUUGAUUGGGUGGACAACAUGUCAGUUCAUGUUGCAAGAGCUCUGACAGGUUGGAGGAUGUUUAUUAUUACUGUGUAAGUCUUUGGAAGUGGGUGAGAAUCAUGAGCCUCAAAGGUUUGUAUUGAAGUCAAUGUACCCAGAGGAGGACAGAACAGGGGCGGAGCCAGAGGGGUGUCCGGACACCCCUGACAUCUGAUUGGCCAUCCCGGGUGCCACCCCAAAAUUUAAUUCGCUACUGGCAGUUUGAUGCUGAUUGAAAGAAGCAUUUAUUUUGACCUUCGGCGGCGCAUUUUUCAAAUUGAGGAAGAGAGAAUAUUAAAGUUGGUUGUGAGAUACAGAAGAAUAAGAAGAACAUACAGAAGAAGAGAGAAUAUUUCCACAGCUCCACAAGCUCUUUUCACGAUUGGCAAAAGCAUCAUAUUUGAAACAUUUCAAGAUCCAGAGAACAAAUACAGCUGGAUUUGAAAACAAUUCCCAGAACACUGCAUGAUACUAGGAAAAGGGCUUUCAACAGCUCCUGGUAUAAGGACAAUUCAUGGCUUGAAUAUUCUGUAAGUCAAGAUUUGACUUACUGUUUCACCUGUAGGCAUUUUGUCUGUCCAAUACACCUGAAUCUGCCUUCACAUCACAGUCAGGUUUUUUUAACUGGAAAAAGGCGCUGUUUAAAGAUUCUGGAUUUAAGCUCCAUUCGAAGGCAGAGCAUCAUAUCAAUGCUAUGUAUGCUUGGAAUCAGCAUAAAAGGGCUAUUGACAAGCAACUUAUCAAUGUUAGAUGUCAUAAAUGAGGACCGGAAAAAGAAAGUGGAGGAAAGCUGUACUUACAUUAAAGAAAUUGCAGAUGUACUCCUAUUAACUGCCACUCAAAAUAUAGCG